rnacentral:rRNA from 1 species
UACCAGCACCCCGGAGUGGUCGGGACGAUUAUUGGGCCUUAAAGCCAUUCCGUUAUGACCGGGUUCUGCAAGUCCCCCGUUAAAUCCAGCUGCUCAACAGAUGGGACCGGCGGACGGCAUAACUACAGAGCUAGGAGGGCAGGAAGAGGCAAAGCGGUACUCAGUGGGUAGGGGUAAAAAUCCGUUGAUCCAUUGAAGACCACCAGUGGCGAAGGCGGCUUGCCAGAAU